GCGGCGUGCUUAACACAUGCAAGUCGAGCGGAGUACAGUAGCAAUAUUGUCUUAGCGGCGGACGGGUGAGUAACGCGUGGGCAACCUGCCAUGAACUGGGGGAUAACACUGGGAAACUAGUGCUAAUACCGCAUAACGUAUAGAGAUGGCAUCAUCUUUAUACCAAAGGAGCAAUCCGGUUUAUGAUGGGCCCGCGUCCGAUUAGCUAGUUGGUGGGGUAACGGCCUACCAAGGCGACGAUCGGUAGCCGAACUGAGAGGUUGAUCGGCCACAUUGGGACUGAGACACGGCCCAGACUCCUACGGGAGGCAGCAGUGGGGAAUAUUGCGCAAUGGGGGAAACCCUGACGCAGCAACGCCGCGUGA
rnacentral:rRNA from 1 species